rnacentral:rRNA from 1 species
CCAAUAGCGUAUAUUAAAGUUGCUGCAGUUAAAAAGCUCGUAGUUGAAUUUCGGGACUAAUAUGUCGGUCGUGCCCCGGUACGUACUGGCAUCGUUGGUUUCUCCUUUCUGAAGAACCCUGAUGUCAUUCAUUUGGUGUCGUGGGGAAUCAGGACUGUUACUUUGAAAAAAUUCGAGUGUUUAAAGCAGGCUCACGCUUGAAUACAUUAGCAUGGAAUAUUGAAAUAGGACGUUUGAUUCUAUUUUGUUGGUUUCUAGGAUCGACGUAAUGAUUAAUAGGGAUAGUUGGGGGCAUUAGUAUUCAAUUGUCAGAGGUGAAAUUCUUGGAUUUAUUGAAGACUAACUACUGCGAAAGCAUUUGCCAAGGAUGUUUUCAUUAAUCAAGAACGAAAGUUAGGGGAUCGAAGACGAUCAGAUACCGUCGUAGUCUUAACCAUAAACUAUGCCGACUAGGGAUCGGAUGAUGUUAAUUUUUUAAUGACUCAUUCGGCGCCUUACG